rnacentral:lncRNA from 1 species
AUUGCCUCAUCUUGUGAGAUGAUAGCUGUCUCACAUUUAGCUGAAUGCUCCAGUUUUCUCUCAAUACACACACUUUUAUUUAUAUAAGUAAAAGAACAAAACAAGACAAAGAUGGAACAAGAACGUAAUAGGCGACAGCGAAACAUCGGUACAGAUAGAUGAUACAAAAAAAGGACAGGAUGAAACAAGGGUCUUAAAGACUGCUGAGAGAGUGGGUGGGAGAAAGGGAUCUUCAAACUGGAGACCCUGCUUGAAGGUUUGCAACAGGGUGAACUCCUGAUUAGAUCGACCCCAGUGCGUAACUGGUACUUAAUUUAUCGACCCGAAAGGAUGAAAGGCAAAGUCGACCUCGGCAGAAUUUGAACUCAGUCUUUACGUUCUGAGUUCAAAUUCCGCCGAAGUCGACUUUGCAUUUCAUCCUUUCGGGGUCAAUAAAUUAAGUACCAGUUACGCACUGGGGUCGAUCUAAUCGACUUAAUCCCUUUGUCAGUCCUUGUUUGUCCCCUCUAUGUUUAGCCCCUUGUGGGCAAUAAAGAAAUAAUGAACUCCUUCCACUGAAGUUGAGAAGUUCGCUUUGCAUGCCACGCAGUUGGACUGAACCUGGAACCAUGUGGUUAAGAAGCAGGCUUCUUACCACAUGUGUGUGUCUUUGCGUUUGUGUUUGACCCCCACCACUGCCUGCCCUAUGGUGUUGCUUCAUUUUAUGUCCCCUCCACACCACCACAACUGAACAGGUAUCAGACUUCAAAUAAAUGAGUGUUGGGAAUAAGUCUGUUAGACUAAAACUCUUUCUAGGCGGUGCCCCAGCAUGGCCACAGUCCGAUGACUGAAACACAUGAACGGUGAAAGAAAGCACCAGUAAGUGGUGCUACUGUUAAAGUGGAUGGCAGGACUGAUUUAGUCAACCGGUUGAAUUCUGGUCAAGAAAAAACACGAAGCAAACCUCAUGAAAAAAUCAAAAAAAAAAAAAAAAAAAAAAUUACAAAAUUCUCAAAAAAUUAAAUCAAAAUUUUUUUUUUAAAUUUAAAACCUUGUAAUUAUAUUUACAUUUAUAUUUUCAUGUAAUUAAGAACUGGCACUUGUAUAAUUACAUUUAACACUUUCACAUCCACAUCGCAUGACGAAAUUCUUUAAAUUUUUUUUUUUUUUUUUUUUUUAAUAUUUCUGUUUUCACUUUUUCAUUCGAUAAUGGACUUUGUGAAAGGUCAGAUGUCCACUGUGAAUAGCUGGACGUCUGCACAUUGUUUCUCAUCUUUUUAACUCUUUCAUUAUGAAAAUUUAGAUUUCAUUGUUAUUCCAAAAUUUUCCAAAAUUAAUCGAAGAAAAUGUAGUGUCUGUCAUCAGAAAUAUCCUAGUCAUACGAUGUAGUUUCUGGAUCGUUCCAUCAUAUUUGUCUUAACUCUUUUAAUGCCAACCCAUUUGAGACCACCACUGCUGAUUUGAAUUUAAACUUUCCAUCAAAAUUUUAAGCUAAUUCAUAUUUCAAACAACUGUAAAAUUUUAUUAAACCAAAUUCUUGUCUUAAAGUGAUCUAAAUUAAAAGCUUUCUUCAAAAUUUCAUGUUAAUUUGUAUUGUUAAUUAACCCUUUCGUUACUGUAUUUCUGUUGAGAUGCUCUGUGUUUCUUUCAAUUAAUUUUAAAUAUAACAAAGAAUUUAGUAAAAUAACUUAGUUAUCAUUAAGCUAGUGUUAGGAACAUAAAUUGUGACUAAGGUUUGGUGGAAGAUUUUAAUUCAAAACUUAUGAAAACAAGACAUUUGUACUGCAGAGCCAGAGGCAGUCUCAGCCAGGUUGGUAACGAAAGGGUUUAAAUAUAUGGUGACUUUAACCCUUUUGUUACCAUAUUUCUGUUGAGAUGCUCUGUGUUUCUUUCAAUUAUUUUAAAUAUAACAAAGAAUUUAGUAAAAUAACUUAGUUAUCAUUAAGCUAGUGUUAGGAACAUAAAUUGUGAUUAAGGUUUGGUGGAAGAUUUUAAUUCAGAACUUAUGAAAACAAGACAUUUGUACUCAGAGCCAGAGGCAGUCUCAGCCAGGUUGGUAACGAAAGGGUUUAAAAUAUGGUGACUUUAACCCUUUUGUUACCAUAUUUCUAUUGAGAUGCUCUGUGUUUCUUUCAAUUAAUUUUAAAUAUAACAAAGAAUUUAGUAAAAUAACUUAGUUAUCAUUAAGCUAGUGUUAGGAACAUAAAUUGUGACAAAGGUUUUGUGGAAGAUUUUAAUUCAGAACUUAUGAAAACAAGACAUUUGUACUACAGAACCAGAGCUGGUUUCAGCUGGGUUGGUAACAAAAGGGUUAAAAAUAUUAUGGUGACUUUAACCCUUUUGUUACCAUAUUUCUGUUGAGAUGCUCUGUGUUUCUUUCAGUUACUUUAAAUAUAACAAAGAAUUUAGUAAAAUAACUUAGUUAUCGUUAAGCUAGUGUUAGGAACAUAAAUUGUGACUAAGGUUUGGUGGAAGAUUUUAAUUCAGAACUUAUGGAAACAAGACAUUUGUACUCAGAGCCAGAGGCAGUCUCAGCUGGGUUGGUCAUGAAAGGAUUAAUAAUGACAAAGUUAAUUUCCUAAAUUCUUCAUUAUUUUUAAAACUAAUUGAAACAAAAAAAACACCCUAGUCAUAUCAUUUAGCUCUUUCCUUUGUGUUUCUUUUAACCCUUUUGAUGCCAACCCAUCUGAGACCACCCCUAGUCAUAUGGUACAAACCUUUUUUUUUUUUUUGACUUAAAUCAAAACCUUCAAUCAAAAUUUUGUGCUAAUUUAUGUUCCAAACGUCUGCAGAAUUCUAUUAAACCAAAUUUCUAUUAAACCAAGCUUUCUUCAAAAUUUCAUGCUGAUUUAUAUUCCAAACAACAAAUUAAUUAAUAAUGACAAAAUUAUUUUACUAAAUUCUUCUUUUCAAAUUUAAUUAGUUUAUUUCAACAGAAAUAUCCUCGUCAUAUGAUUUAGCUUCCAGAUCUUUCCAUCAUGUUUGUCUUCACCCUUUCUGUACCAAAUCACCUGAAAUCUCCCCUGCUUCCUUAAUAAAAACUCCCUGUUUUAAUGAGAUCUAAAUUAAAACCCUUUUCCAUCAAAAUCCCAUGUUAACCCCUUUAAUUCUGAAAUUAAAUUUCAUGGUCAUUCUAGUAAUGAUGUUCAAUAUCUACCAAAAACAAAGCAAAAAAUAGAAUUGCUAUCAUCAUCAUCACCGUCAUCGUCGUUUAACGUCCGCUUUCCAUGCUCGCAUGUGUGGGACUAUUUUGACAGGUCUGGCGAACCAGAUGGCUGCACCAGGCUCCAGUCUUGAUCUGGCAGUGUUUCUACAGCUGGAUGCCCUUCCUAAUGCCAACCAAUCCGAGAGUGUAGUGGGUGCUUUUACGUGCCACCAGCACAGGGGCCAGAGGAGGCGGGCAAACAGGCGUGAUUGAUUGGUGCUUCUUAUGUGUCACCGACACGGACGCCAGUCUGGUGGUACUGGCAAUGGCCAUGCUCGAAAAUGGUGUUUUCCACGUGCCACCUGCACAUGAGUCAGUCCAGUGGCACUGGCAAUGACCUCGCUCGAAUGUUUUGUUCACGUGGCACAGGCACAAGUGCCAGUAAAGCGGCGCUGGUAUAUCAAAUGUCUGCUGUAGGCUAAAAGCUUUCCUGGAACAAAAGCGAAAUUGGUGAAGCUGUGGGAUUCCGAAACCAGUACAUCUCAGAGCUUAAAUUAAUCAUCAUUUAACAUUCAUUGUCUAUGCUGGCAUGGGUUGGAUGGCUUGAUAAGAGCUGGCAAACUGGGGAGCUACACCAGGCUCCAAUCUGAUCUGGCAGAGUUUCUACAGCUGGAUGCCCUUCCUAACGCCAACCACUCCGAGAGUGUAGUGGGUGCUUUUAUGUGCCACCGGCACGAGGGCAAGUCAGGUGGUACUGGCAACGGCCACGCUCAGAUGGUGUUUUUUAUGUGCCACCUGUACAGGAGCCAGUCCACCGGCACUGGCAACGACCUCGCUUUGAAUGUUUUUCACAUGCCACCAGCACAGGUGCUAGUAAGGCGACGCAGGUAACGAUCACGCAGGCGGCGGGCUGGCAGAAACGUUAGCACGCCGGGGGAAAUGAGUAGCCGUAUUUCAUCUGUCGUUAUGUUCUGAGUUCAAAUUCCGCCGAGGUCGACUUUGCCUUUCAUCCUUUCGGGGUCGAUAAAUUAAGUACCAGUUACGCACUGGGGUCGAUCUAAUCGACUUAAUACCUAUGUCUGUCCUUGUUUGUCCCCUCUGUGUUUAGCCCCUUGUGGGUAAUAAAGAAAUAGGUAACGAUCACGCUCUAAUGGUGUCUUUUACAUGCCACUGGCACGGAGGCCAGCUUGUUGCUCUGGCAAUGAUCCCACUUGUAUGGUACUCUUAGCGCUCCACUAGCACGGGUGCCAGAAACAAAUACAGUGUAUUUCAUCAGAAAUAACCUACUCAUGAUUUAGCUUCUGGAUCUUUCCAUCAUGUUUGUCUUGAACCUUUUGACAUCAAAUCACCUGAAAUCUUCCCUGCUUCUAUGACACAAAUUCCUUGAUUUAAUGUGAUCUAAACGAAAACCUUUCAUCAAAAUUUCAUGUUAACCCUUUCACUGAUAAAUUAAUAUUUCAUGGUUAUUCCAGUUAUGAUGUUUAAAUAUCUGCCAAAAAACAGAAUUGGUAUUUUCUGCAAGGCACCUUGUUUCAUAAUAAACUUUACAUAUCUCAAAAGAGAAUAGUUCCAAACAUGACACUCCUCAUCAAAUGACAGAUUGGGAUAUAAAACUGCUUUCUGCAGUUAAGGGUAAUGAGAUUUUUGAGUGGACGUAUGUAAUUUCUGCAGUGAAAGGGUUAAUAUUCCUAUGAAACUUCCUAGACAUAAAUGGAAUUACAAUAGAAGAACAAAACACCCUAGAUGCUCCCUCAGUUUGUAUAAGUAGCAGUUAAGUACUUCAGUUGAUUUAACCCUUUAAAUAUGAAAUAUAUUUUCAUGGUUAUUUCCAGUUAUGAUGUUUAAAUAUCUACCAAAGAAUAGAAUUGGUAUUUUCUGUGAGUCACCUUGCGUCAUAUUAAGUUUGGCAUAUCUCAAAAGAGUUCCAAACAUGACACUCCUCAUCAAAUGACAGAUUGGGAUAUAAAACUGCUUUCUGCAGUUAAGGGUAAUGAGAUUUUUGAGUGGACGUAUGUAAUUUCUGCAGUGAAAAGGUUAACAUUCCUAUGAAACUUCCUAGACAUAAAUGGAAUUACAAUAGAAGACCAAAACACCCUAGAGGCUCCCUCAGUUUGUAUAAGUAGCAGUUAAGUACUUCCGUUGAUUUAACCCUUUAAAUAUGAAAUAUAUUUUCAUGGUUAUUCCAGUAAUGAUGUUUAAAUAUCUGCCAAAAAAUAGAAUUGGUAUUUUCUGCAAGUCACCUUGCAUCAUAUUAAAUUUGACAUAUCUCAAAAGAGUUCCAGACAUGACAUUCCACAACAAAAAACAGAUUGGGAUAUAAAACUGCUUUCCAAAGUCAAGGGUAACGAAAUUUUGAGUGGAGAUAUCUAAUUACCACAAUGAAAGAAUUAACGAACUAUCAGAGAAAUUUGUUGCAGUAUUAUUAUAUUUCAUGGAAAAUAUUAAAAAUUUGUUUCAUCAAAA